CACUGCUGCAUCGUGGCCCUAGCGUCGCCGCUCGCUCGCCCUCAUCCCCCAAUCCCCUAGGCCUCCACUUCUCCGAUUGGGGCGAUUUCAUGGCAAGCGGGCAUAGAUCCGACAUGGGCGCCUCCGCUCCGACGGCCGCUCUGUCCUCUGCGCCUCCACUGCCGCUCUCCUUGUCAGUCGCCAAUGGCCAGGAGGAGGAGGAAGGGUCGGCCGGGCCACCGCUGGUGGCCAUGGCAUCCCAGUGUGCCCCGCCCUUGCCUCCUCGGCCACGCGCCGCCGCGCCGUUCCUCCUCGGCCACACACCGCCGCACGCCCGUCCUCCUCGGUGCGCCGCCCUCACCCCCUCGGUGCGUGCCGCUGCGCGCCCGUGCUUCCUCGCCUCCACGCGCGUCCUGCUGAGACCACAGAGCGAAGAAGCCCCAGCCUCCUGUAGCUGGUCUGCCUCUGACCCUCUCCUCUGCGCUUCCCCUGCGUCGGCCCUGCUCGUAGCUUGGAGGCGGCGGCAUUCUCCGGCAAUGGGGUGCAAGGCGUGCGACAAGCCCAAGCCCAACUACCGCAAGGGCCUGUGGUCGCUGGAGGAGGACCAGAAGCUCCGCGACUACAUUCUCCUCCACGGCCACGGCUGCUGGAGCGCGCUCCCCAUGAAAGCCGGAGGAGUGCUCCUACCUAGCACAGAUGCUCUACGGUAGGGUCAUCAUGGAUGUGGUCACCAAGAGCAGGCAUGCAUCGCAGAUUCACAGUACACAACUCUAAGGUACCAAUGUCAAGAUAGCUGCCAUUCCUUCAAGCGUCGUGGUUCUGACUUCAGAGACCUUUGACUCAAUUGUCCUUGAUGAGUUUUAUGCCCCAUGGUGUGGUCACUGCAAGCAUCUUGCUCCGAUUUAUGAGAAGCUGGCUUCAGUUUUCAAGCAGGACGACAGUGUUGUGAUUGCCAAUCUUGAUGCUGACAAGCACACUGACUUGGAUGAAAAACUGUAAGGACUUCUGCUUACUUUCCGAUGCCAAAGAUUUUUGGAAAUUAGUGUUGAACUCAUUUGAUGCAUUGGUGGGACAACCCUUGGCUGCAAAUGCAGCACAAUCAACUUGAGCUACCUUGGGUUGAGUAUGAUAGUUUUCCAAAGAAUUGGUGUCAGUCAUCAACUGUCUCUCGUGCUGAUUUCUGGCAAGAAGUUCAACAAUGUCCAUGGGGAAGUCGUCUAUCACAUUCUGUUUCUCGUGCACCUUCUGCUUUCCUUUCUUAUUCUUUGGUAUAUUCUUCUUGUGGAGGCCAGACACAUUCUGGAUCUUUUGUUUACCAAGAGAAACCUGUGGUAACGAGAUGAGGGUACAAUAUUUGUAUACAAGCAGAGUAAAUUCAGUACGGAUUUCCUAUUGCUUGCACCAUUGUGUGUGUGUGUAUAUAUAUAUAGUUUAUAAAGAAGUAAAUGUCAUUUGGGAUUCGCUAAUUUGCUCAUGACAUCCCAAACUAGUCACACACAAAUAACUAGUUCAGUUGGCAUGCGUGCAAACUUGUGAACUCAAAUGUCAUAAAAAGUGUCAAAAAAUCCUAGUGGUGUACACAACGGAAAGCAUGGAUGGUAUGGGAGCAAAGUGGCAUAGACACAAAUGCAUUAACAUUAAAGGGAUUAAAAAUCCUAUGCUGGACAAAGGUCCCCAAUUCAAGUCAGCAAAAGUAGGUAAAACACGUAAAUGAAUGUAAUAAUCUAAUUAUAAAUUUUCAGUAGAAUUCUUUAUGUUUAAUCAUACCUUUGCCAAAUAUCUUUGUACAGAGACUUCAGGUUCCUUUUGAGGCAAAUCAUCUGACCUGAGCAUAUCUCUCUUUAUAUUACUGUUCUCAAUGUUCUCAUCAUAGACAACCGAAGUGGACAGUACCUUUCUCUUUAGCAAAAUCGUUGAUUUUUCAUUUGAGAAGAACCUCUGUUUCAAGUUUCUAGAUUCAUUUUCACACAGGCCAUCCAUCUUCUGCAUAUUUUGCUCCAGUUUGUCAUUCUGUGCAUUUCCAUUCCCAUGCUUGGCACUGGUAGUAGAUGAUACAUUUGCCUGGCCCACAUCCCCAACUGAGGGUAGAAAAUCAUGAUGCAUAUCAUUAGAAGCAACUAUAUCUGGGUAAGACCUUGAAAUAGAAGAGGAAUCAAGAUUCUUGUGUUCUGAGUCUUUUUUCUUUGUUCUAACUUCCUUAUUAGUGCUUUUCAGCCAGUUCAUUAGAGAGGAUCCAUCUUCUAACUUGUCUACUCCUGUGUAUUUUGCCUUGUUCUUGACAGCUCUUGACUGGAUUUCGUCCACUUGCUGAUUAGCAGUGUCAUUACCUUUUCCAACCUCAAGGUGCAUUUUUCUUUUACCACCCUCACAGAGAUCAACACUGUUAGUAUGGUCCACUUGAAUGGCAUCUCUAGAAACCCCUACCUGUUCAGAACCUAUGAGUUCUGAUAACAGCCUUGUCUUUUUUGGCUUUCUCUGACAAAAUUUGAGAUCUGAAAUACCAGGCAGUUUAGUAGAUUUAUUCCUUUUCCUCUUACCAUCAGAUUCAACAUUUCUUUUUGACGAUGCUCGGCGUGGACCCAUGUUGCAGACUUGUUUGCUUUUGUGCCCAGAUACUGGUUUACAUACAUUAGGCUCAUUGAGGUCAUCAUUAGCUAUGUUAUUCUAAUCUUCAUUUGGCGCCACACAAGGUUUUAGACUGUGUGGAUUCUGUGUGCCAUUUUCUUCAACAUCAUCAGGUAGAUCGCUGACAUUCUUCGAGACAGCAUUCAAGAUAUUUGCUGACAAAUCAAUACUAUUGGGAGAGGCCUGUAAAACUGAGAAAAUACUGUCAUAUUAGCUUGUUGUAUACAACAAAAAGUAAUAAUUAAGAAUUCAACAUGCUCAGCCAUACCUUCUAUAGAUGGAACCCUCGUAUCAACGAGUGCCUCUGGAACAUUUUCUUCAGCUACUGGAACAUUCAUCGCAGUAAUUGCUUUGUUGCCAGGAGAACUGCAUUUUGAAUUGCAUUUUUGGGCAGUCUUUGAAAGGGUCAAUCGAUCAUUCCCUUGAGAUGAUUGCUGUGUGCAAGAAAACAGUCUUCUGGAAUCAACACUAUUAGGCAAAAUCCGAACAAUUGAAAUAGAGCAGCCAUCAUUCAUUCCAUUCUGCUGCAUAGAAACAUUUUCCGAUGUUGGCCUAUGGCCUGAAACUUCCACACUAUCAAGACAUCUUGAGCAAUCCCAUCGAUGAUACUUCGACACCAAAACUGGGGACGAAUCAUGGUGCUCAUCAUAUUGUGGCUGGUUAUGGAAAAUAUGAGAGCAAAGUUUUGGAUCCUUCUUCUGAAGCAUAGCAACAUAACCCCUGACAAAACCAUCAACCGUCAAUAAGACUUAAGAUAUAUGCAUAGACGAAUCAUCAAAUGUUUGCUCUAGAAAAAAGAAAGAAUCAAAAUCCAAAAGCAUCUUUAAUAAUAUACCUAUGACAAUUUAUAAUAACUAUGUUUGUCCUUUCUUCCAUGUUCACAGCAUCUUUAAUAAUAAUAUACCUCUGCAGAUAUGGUGUUUCUGGUUUCCCUACAUUGAAGUUCUUCCCUAAGCGAAACAAAGCUGGUGAAGAUUAUGAUGGUGGCCGGGACUUGGAUGACUUUGUCAAGUUCAUUAAUGAGAAGUGUGGCACCAGCCGGGAUCCAAAGGGCCACCUGACUUCAGAGGCUAGGCUUGUGCCAAGCUUGAAUCCUCUUGUGAAGGAGUUUCUCAAUGUUGUUGAUGACAAGCGGAAGGAAGUCCUCUCUAAAAUAGAAGAGGAUGUUGCUAAGCUUAGCGGUUCUGCAGCCAAGCAUGGAAAGAUAUAUGUGACAGCUGCAAAGAAGAUCAUGGACAAGGGCUCUGACUACACUAAGAAGGAGACUGAGAGGCUUCACCGCAUGCUGGAGAAGAUUCCAAGUUCACACAGCAGGAGUUGCUAGCUUGCAAGCCGAUUCUUACUCCAAAAUGGGUAGGCUUACGGGUUGUGAAGAUUAUGAUGCUACUGGUUACGCCUAAUCUUUAUGGCAAUUUGGUGGCUAACACGGCUGCAGGUAUUGUUGGAGGGACGGGCAUCAUGCCUGGAGACUUUGUGGCAUAUGGAACUUCUUGGAGCUUUUUGCUAUGGUCUUCAUCAAGUUUUCUACCAAUGACUUAUCUCCCGCUACCCCGACCCGCUCAUCAAGGCCAUCGACACCAUCAAGAUCGAUCUGGAGACCAACAAAAUCAUGGACUUCAUCAAGUUUGACGUCAGCAACGUGGUCAUGGUGACUGGCGGGAGGAACACCGAGCGUGUAGGAGUCAUCAAGAACAGGGAGAAGCACAAGGGCAGCUUUGAGACCAUCCACGUGCUGCUUGGAGCUUUUUGCUAUGUCUAGUUUUCUCCUAUUUGUUGUACAGGAAAACAUAGAAUAGAAUUCAAAUUUGGUGGUC